rnacentral:rRNA from 1 species
CCUACGGGGCGCAGCAGUGGGGAAUAUUGGACAAUGGGCGAAAGCCUGAUCCAGCCAUGCCGCGUGUGUGAAGAAGGCCUUCGGGUUGUAAAGCACUUUCAGUGGGGAAGAAAGCCUUGGGGCUAAUACCCUCGAGGAAGGACAUCACCCACAGAAGAAGCACCGGCUAACUCCGUGCCAGCAGCCGCGGUAAUACGGAGGGUGCGAGCGUUAAUCGGAAUUACUGGGCGUAAAGCGCGCGUAGGCGGUCUGAUAAGCCGGUUGUGAAAGCCCCGGGCUCAACCUGGGAACGGCAUCCGGAACUGUCAGGCUAGAGUGCAGGAGAGGAAGGUAGAAUUCCCGGUGUAGCGGUGAAAUGCGUAGAGAUCGGGAGGAAUACCAGAGGCGAAGGCGGCCUUCUGGACUGACACUGACGCUGAGGUGCGAAAGCGUGGGUAGCAAACAGGAUUAGAUACCCUAGUAGUC